GCGGUCGUGGCGGAAUGGUAGACGCGCCAGCUUGAGGGGCUGGUCAGGGUAACCCUGGUGGAAGUUCGACUCUUCUCGGCCGCA
rnacentral:tRNA from 2 species